rnacentral:misc_RNA from 1 species
UCUCCGUAGGUGAACCUGCGGAGGGAUCAUUACAGAGUUCAUGCCCUACCGGGUAGAUCUCCCACCCUAUGUUAUUAUUACUUUGUUGCUUUGGCGGGCCGUUAGGCUCCGGCCCGACUACCGGCCCCGGCUGGUAAGCGCCCGCCAGAGGACCCAAGACCCCGAAUAUUAGUGUCGUCUGAGUACUAUAUAAUAGUUAAAACUUUCAACAACGGAUCUCUUGGUUCUG